rnacentral:rRNA from 1 species
UUUUAAUAGAUUUAAUUUAAAAAAUUCUCUUAUUAGGUUUUAGUUUAACAAAUUUUUUUUUUACGCAAAAAAAAAUCGAAAAAUAUAAGAAUUAUUAAAAAAAAACUACAUGGAUAAAAAUGUAUAAAUAUUUUUUAAUAGAAAUUAAAGUUAUAUGCUCUUCGUUUAUUUAAAUAUCUAUUUAAUCUUUUUUUUUUAAAAAUAUAUAAAAUUUUUUUAUAUGAAAAAAAAGGGUCAGCUUUUUUUUUUUAUAUUUUAUAUUUUUUUUAAAAAAUUUUUUAUAUUUUUUUUUUUAUUUUUAAAAAGAUUUUUAAAAAGGUUAUAAUGAGUAAUUUUUUUUUUUUUAGAAAAAUUAAUAAAAAAUUUUUUUAAAAGUAUUAAAUUAUAAUUUGUUGUUUACUAAAUACUACAAAUAUAGAUUUCUAUUAUAUUUUUUUUUUUUAAUUACUAGUAAAAAAAAAAAAAAAAAUUAAAUGUUUUUAUAAAAUUAAAAUUAUAAUAGGGUUUUUAAAAAAAUAAAAUGAAAAUAUUAAGUCGGUAAAAUAAACCCACACUGUAAUAAAAGAAGAAAAGACCCUAGGUGGUUUAAUUGUUUUUUGCACUGGGGUAGUGAUAUAUGAUUAAAAAACAUAUUUUAAAAAGAUAAUUUUUUUUUUUUUAGAAGAACCUAUGCAGUAUAGAUAGUUAAUUAGAAAAACUAACCCUAGGGAUAACAGCGCUAUAUAUGAUGAUAGAACAUAUUGAUUCAUAUUUUUACGACCUCGAUGUCGUCUUAUGUUAAAAAUAUCAUGCAGAAAUGAUUUUUUUUACGAUUGUUCCUCGUUUAAAAACAUACAUGAGCUGGGUUUAGUACGGAGUGAUUUAGUUCGGUUUUUAUCUUUAUUAAUAAUAAAAAAUAGUACGAAAGGAAUUUUUUUGUUUAUUUUUUUUAAAAAUAGAAAAAAAAAAAUUUGCUAAAUUUUCCAAGUAUGUAAUUCACUACCUAU